rnacentral:rRNA from 1 species
CGCAGCCGCGGUAAUUCCAGCUCCAAUAGCGUAUAUUAAAGUUGUUGCAGUUAAAAGCUCGUAGUUGAAUUUCGGGAUCAAUUUGUUGGUCGUACCUUGGUACGUACUGACAUUAUUGGUUUCUCCCUUCUGAGAAUCCUUGAUGUCAUUAAUUUGGUGUCUUGGGGAAUCAGGACUGUUACCUUGAAAAAAUUAGAGUGUUUAAAGCAGGCAUACGCUUGAAUACAUUAGCAUGGAAUAAUGAAAUAGGACGUUCGAUUCUAUUUUGUUGGUUUCUAGGAUCGAUGUAAUGAUUAAUAGGGAUAGUUGGGGGCAUUAGUAUUCAAUUGUCAGAGGUGAAAUUCUUGGAUUUAUUGAAGACUAACUACUGCGAAAGCAUUUGCCAAGGAUGUUUUCAUUAAUCAAGAACGAAAGUUAGGGAUCGAAGACGAUCAGAUACCGUGUAGUCUU